UUCUUUGCAACGUGCUUGGCCGACGCUAACAAUAGGCGCUAAGAUAUACCCGGCCGAGCUGUCCAGCAAUAAAGACGUGCUUAGUGUGUGAAGGGGGUAUCGUGUUAGAAGCCUGUGUGGCAUGUUUUAGUUUCACAAGUUCAGCAUUUGACGCGGACACGGAUAGCUGACCGUGUGUCAUAUUGUUGAUGUUGAGAAGAUGAAGAUGUGAUGGUGUAGAUGAUGUCGUUCAUGGUGAAGUCGAUGACGAUGCGAUGUUCAUGUUGAUGACGACGAUGAAGUUAUGGUGAUGAUGACGACGACGAUGAUGAUGGUCAUGUCGAUGAUGAUGAUGAUGUAGAUGAUGUCGUUCAUGGUGACGUCGGUGAUGAUUAUGAAGUAGAUGAUUAUGGUGAUGACGAUGAUGUCUAUUAUGAUUAUGGUGUUGGAGUUGAUGAUGUUGACGAUAGUGGUGAUGAUGAUGAUUGUGGUGACGAAACUACUCUAGUUGUGGUUGUCCGUAGUUGGUCCAGGACUACAGCCCCGGAGAUUCGGACACUCUUCUAAUUUAUUUUUGGUCAUUUGUAUAAACAUCAUAUUUUUUCUUGUUGAGUGAAAGGUGUGUGAGUGUUUGUGUGGUUUAGUGUUUAUAUUUCUAUCUUUUCUUUCUUUCUCUUAUUUUUUUUGUUAUUAAAUUUUGUUAAAUUUAA